rnacentral:rRNA from 1 species
UACGGAGGGGGCAAGCGUUGCUCGGAAUCACUGGGCGUAAAGGGCGCGUAGGCGGGGCGGCAAGUCGGGUGUGAAAUCCCUCGGCCCAACUGAGGAACUGCGCCCGAGACUGCUUCUCUUGAGUCCCGGAGAGGAAGAUGGAAUUCCCGGUGUAGCGGUGAAAUGCGUAGAUAUCUGGAGGAACACCGGUGGCGAAGGCGGCAUCCUGGACCGGCAUUGACGCUGAGGCGCGAAAGCCAGGGGAGCAAACGGG